GCCCCUGUGGCGGAACUGGUAGACGCGCGGGAUUCAAAAUCCCGUUCCUUUACGGGAGUGGGAGUUCGAUUCUCCCCGGGGGCACCA
rnacentral:tRNA from 2 species